rnacentral:piRNA from 1 species
UGGUUUAUACUAUAAUGUUGCUUUUGAAU